rnacentral:rRNA from 1 species
AUUGAACGCUGGCGGCAUGCUUUACACAUGCAAGUCGAACGGCAGCGGGGAGGAGCUUGCUUCUCUGCCGGCGAGUGGCGAACGGGUGAGUAAUACAUCGGAACGUGUCGAGAAGAGGGGGAUAACCACCCGAAAGGGUGGCUAAUACCGCAUAAAUCCUGAGGAAGAAAGCUGGGGACCUAGGAAUAGGCCUAGCGCUUUUUGAGCGGCCGAUGUCGGAUUAGCUAGUUGGUGUGGUAAAGGCUCACCAAGGCGAAGAUCUGUAGCGGGUCUGAGAGGAUGAUCCGCCACACUGGGACUGAGACACGGCCCAGACUCCUACGGGAGGCAGCAGUGGGGAAUUUUGGACAAUGGGGGCAACCCUGAUCCAGCCAUGCCGCGUGUAUGAAGAAGGCCUUAGGGUUGUAAAGUACUUUUGUUAGGGAAGAAAAGUCAGCUGUGAAUAAUGGCUGAUACUGACGGUACCUAAAGAAUAAGCACCGGCUAACUACGUG